UGAAUUAUAGGGCGUCUACUUGUAGAGCCUGACCUCCACUUCUAACACUGUGCCUUGAUGGCGAGGUAAUGGAAACUUUUCNCGAGUGAAACUACCUUGCGGCUUCAUUUUAAACAUUAGUUAAAGUAUGUAACGAAAUAUCGAAACAAAAAAAGACUUUCAACAACGGAUCUCUUGGCUCUCGCAUCGAUGAAGAACGCAGCGAAAUGUGAUAAGUAAUGUGAAUUGCAGAAUUCAGUGAAUCUCGAAUCUUUGACGCACCUUGCGCUCCCUGGUAUUCCGGGGAGCAUGCCUUUUUGAGUGUCAUGAACUCUUCAACCCACCAGUUUCUAGUAGACUGCGUUGGUGUUUGGAUUUUGAGCGUUGCUAGUCUGACUAGCUCGUUCGUAAUAUAUUAGCAUCUCUAAUUCGAAUUCGAUUGACUCAGUGUAAUAGACUAUUGGCUGAGGACACUUUUNAUUNGUGGCCGUACUAGAACCAGUAGAAGCUUCCAACUAUUGUAGUCAACUUUAAUUUAGACCUCGAUCAGGCCGGAUUA
rnacentral:rRNA from 1 species